rnacentral:rRNA from 1 species
AUUGAACGCUGGCGGCAGGCCUAACACAUGCAAGUCGAACGGUAACAGGAAGCAGCUUGCUGCUUUGCUGACGAGUGGCGGACGGGUGAGUAAUGUCUGGGAAACUGCCUGAUGGAGGGGGAUAACUACUGGAAACGGUAGCUAAUACCGCAUAACGUCGCAAGACCAAAGAGGGGGACCUUCGGGCCUCUUGCCAUCGGAUGUGCCCAGAUGGGAUUAGCUAGUAGGUGGGGUAACGGCUCACCUAGGCGACGAUCCCUAGCUGGUCUGAGAGGAUGACCAGCCACACUGGAACUGAGACACGGUCCAGACUCCUACGGGAGGCAGCAGUGGGGAAUAUUGCACAAUGGGCGCAAGCCUGAUGCAGCCAUGCCGCGUGUAUGAUGAAGGCCUUCGGGUUGUAAAGUACUUUCAGCGGGGAGGAAGGGAGUAAAGUUAAUACCUUUGCUCAUUGACGUUACCCGCAGAAGAAGCACCGGCUAACUCCGUG